GACAAGCCCUGGAAACGGGGUCUAAUACCGGAUACGAGCCUCCAAGGCAUCUUGGAGGUUGGAAAGCUCCGGCGGUGAAGGAUGAGCCCGCGGCCUAUCAGCUUGUUGGUGAGGUAAUGGCUCACCAAGGCGACGACGGGUAGCCGGCCUGAGAGGGCGACCGGCCACACUGGGACUGAGACACGGCCCAGACUCCUACGGGAGGCAGCAGUGGGGAAUAUUGCACAAUGGGCGAAAGCCUGAUGCAGCGACGCCGCGUGAGGGAUGACGGCCUUCGGGUUGUAAACCUCUUUCAGCAGGGAAGAAGCGCAAGUGACGGUACCUGCAGAAGAAGCGCCGGCUAACUACGUGCCAGCAGCCGCGGUAAUACGUAGGGCGCAAGCGUUGUCCGGAAUUAUUGGGCGUAAAGAGCUCGUAGGCGGCUUGUCACGUCGAUUGUGAAAGCCCGAGGCUUAACCUCGGGUCUGCAGUCGAUACGGGCUAGCUAGAGUGUGGUAGGGGAGAUCGGAAUUCCUGGUGUAGCGGUGAAAUGCGCAGAUAUCAGGAGGAACACCGGUGGCGAAGGCGGAUCUCUGGGCCAUUACUGACGCUGAGGAGCGAAAGCGUGGGGAGCGAACAGGAUUAGAUACCCUGGUAGUCCACGCCGUAAACGGUGGGAACUAGGUGUUGGCGACAUUCCACGUCGUCGGUGCCGCAGCUAACGCAUUAAGUUCCCCGCCUGGGGAGUACGGCCGCAAGGCUAAAACUCAA
rnacentral:rRNA from 1 species